AUUGUAUCUUCUCCCAAACGCGUUUCACAGGUUAAAGACUUUUUGAAGUAAAGAGGAGCAUCUCAUAUGAACCUGAUGUCUAUCAUGGAUAUUUAACUGCAGUUCUGUGAGUAUCCCAACUUGACCAUGAAGAUGAACUGCAAACUGUAAGUCAUUAGUUUCUCAUUACUCUUGGGCACAUUGAUGUAUUUUGGCUUCCUGGUGAGUUAACCUGUUAGCUGAAGGUUGAUCUGUGUAUGAAGGAUGUUUCAUUGGUUCAUGGGUUACUUAGGUGUUUGGUUUAUGUUGGUUUUAAUGUUUUUUUUAUAAUGGUCACAGGCACCAAGUUAUUGUUGUAAGCUGGAGUAAUGGGUUGGGUUCUGAUAUCUUCAGUCUUCUUUCCAGCUACUCUCCUGAGCUCUGCAUCUUCAUCACAUGAGUGUUGCUUUAUUUAUGAGGGUGUGGUCUGAGUGAGCAGAGGUGCAUACUGGGAUACAGAGUUGUCUGAAGUCUACAGGUCUGUAGACACACCCCCGCAGGGGAAACCGUGUGUUUGAGAAACGGUCGUGACAUCAGUUACAUGGACUAGAAUGUUCUUUAAGAUGGAGACAGGGAUUCAGAAGGAGAAACACCAGGGGGAGAUGAGGGGGCUCCUCAUCUCAACUACUAAAACCCAACUUCAGUCUGACGCAGAGAACCAUGGAACACAUUCAACCGUCCCCUCCAGGCAUAGUGACUCCUCAGGAACAUUUUCAUUUCCAAGAAGGUCUUAUUUGGGGCCAUUCCAAGAUGGAUCCUGCUCCUCAAGAGCCACCCCCCUCCACUUGGUGGUCUUAUGAACAGAUUACCUCCUUCCUGUCCUCAGGCUGACUAAAGCUGCACCGCUUGCUGUGAAGGCCCCUCAUUCAGGAAUCCACUGGACUACAAAGACAUGCCUUCAGAGACGUUGAAUCAACCUGGGACACAUUUUGGACGCCAAGCAUAAUCCAUCACCAAUGUGGGACGCCAUUGAAGAAUGUUGUACAUAAUUUACGUCUCUGGAGACAUUGGUUGUUCUGUUCUGGGUGUCCUGGCAAGAGAGCUGGGGGUGGAAGAUGGAAUGUUCUUUGGGAUGAGGUUUUUACCCUGCAUGAUUUGUUUUGCCUUUUAUGGCUGUGUUGGUUUGACAUGAGGUGGAUGAUUUUUGUGUGUGUCACUCACACCUGGCAUGGGGUUCUGUGCGUGUGUCCGGCUUGCUUUGACAGUGAUAAUGGUCAUACGGGGGUCUGUGUGAUUGGCUUGGGAUAUUGGAAUGGUCAAAUAAAUCAUACCUGAUGGACGGCCACACGUUUACUUGAGGCCUCCAGUAGACAUGAAGAGCACGGAGCAACGGUCCGGAGAGAUAUCCAACACACUGGGCAGGAAGGAGAGUGUCCAAAUCAAGUGUAAAAGGAUGCAAGCGGCGUGUUCAGAUCAGUGACUUCAAACUAGGACCACACAAAUCAGGAUCAAUGGAGGAUGGACACCUAAAGGCAUUCCACAAGGAGAGUGAAGUUGGAAAGGGACCUCGAUGGAUAUUCAAGAUGACCUUCAGACCUGUAAUGAGACGGCUCUUCCUACCUGGCUGGAUUGAUGGAGCCCCGUGGAUCUUGUCUUGCUCUCAGUUGCACGUCUUCUCAGGCUGAACUGUAUUUGUUUCGGACAGGACUAGCUGAACGAUUGGUUCCCUUAAAUCAGAACCGAUCUGGGAACUCCAACUAGUGCGCUCUUCGAGCUGAAGUUGUGCUCUUCAGCUGAGGAGGUAAUGAAACCUUCACUGGGGUUUCAAGAUGUAAGGAGGAGACUGUUUCAAAGUGUUCCAUGGUACUCUGAUGAAGACCGUUGUUGUGUUCCACUGGCUGAGAGGAAGAACCCUCACAUCUUCCUCUUGGCCUUUCUCCUCAGAGUCCUGGCGCCAUCUUGAAGGAUAUUCCAGGGCAUGUAACUGAUGUCACGACAGUUUCUCAAACACUUGGUUUCUCCUGAGGGGCUUAUCUAUAGAACUGAAGACUUCAGACAGCACUGUAUCCCAGCAUGCAUCUCUGCUCACUCAGACCACACCCUAAUGAGUAGGAUGCAACACUCUAGCGAUGGAGAUGUAGAGUUUUAUAAGUAACGAGGGAGCAGACAAAGGUGACUAGAACACAAUGGCAUGUCAAGUCUGUAAAUCUUUAAACCAUGAAGAUGGUUGGAUAGAUCAGGAAUUGGGCUUUAUUUUAUUAUGGGCAGUCCUCCCACUUCUCGCUGGACCUGUACAUGUGUUGGCUGGCUGGCAUGAUUUGCUGUUGGUGAUGAGUAGGUCAGGGUGACGUUGCAGGGCUAUGGUCGGCUCUCUGUGAGCUCAACGUUUAGAUUUGCUCUGUAUGGUUUGUACCAUGAAUAAUCUAGAUAAUUGUAAAAUGUAGACAUGGUUUUGUAUUGAAUGAUUCCAUUGUUUUUAGGCAAGGAUUUGUUGUUGUGGGAUGUACAUGGUAGUUUGGUUCUUCGUACGGUUUUGAUUGAUAUAACUUGUACACACUGGGUGCAUAAUAAUGUAAAAGUAUACUGAAUAGUAGAAAUUACCAACAGCAACAAACAGAUCUCCUCAAGGUAAGUCUGUUGGCUGUGUUUUAAUGUAGACCAUCGCUGGACUUCAGGAUCUUCCUCCGUUCAGCUCAAGGUGAGGCGCUGGUUCUGUUUUUUCUUUGGUUGGUUCCGGCCGGAAUGUUCGGAUUCCAGUCGGACGGUUUGUGCUUCCCGCCGUGGAAGGUUCUGAGUGCGGUCACUUGAUUUAGUCCCAAUGGUUAGCAUAGAACGUUGUAGUCUUGACACCCAUUAGAAGCCACCAGUUGGUUGGACAGGAAUCUGUCUGAACGUUCUGGAUUGUAUUUGCGUAACCUUGAGCCGUUGCCAACGGAAACUAUUUUUCAGUUGUUUUCAUUGGGAAUUGUUGGCCCUUAUCUUAAACAACUUAAGUUUGACAUUAAAUACAUACUGACGCGUACAUCGUACAAUAUGUUGAUAAUUUUCGAUGGUUGCGCCGUACUUUUAUCCACGUUGACGGGACUCUCGCUGCGUACAAAACGGCGUUCUACUUGCGGGCCCAUUUCUGACAUCAGUGAAGGCUGAAAAUCAUUUCACGGUGGAAGACAAUUUGACAUUUCUUCAACGGAAUCCAGCACCUGAAUAUGAAUGGGUAAAUUUGAUUGAAUAUCAAUACUGCUUAGUGUUCUUUGGCUCUAGAACUGUACAAGGUUAAAAAGGUAACAUGUAGUUUGUCCCAAGGUGUCCACCUCCUCAACCAGAGCCAGACCUCCCAGAGCCAGACCUCCUGUCACAAGUCCUCCAGAACAGCUGAAAGGCGAGGCUGAGAGGCUGGGGGCCGGAGGCUUGUGGUGCCAGGAUGGACUGGAGACCAGGGGCCUGCAACACCGGAUCAGAGACCAGGAAUCCAUGGCUGAAGGAGCUGAUGGAGGAGCCAUGCUGAAGGCCCUGCCUGGUGGAGGAGCUGACGGAGGAUGUCUGUCGUGGGGUAGAUGGAGCCUGACUCUGAAGUGACAUCACACUCACUGCCACUUCUCGUAGAAUACUGCUACCACAAUCCACCAGCGUUUGUACCAUGUAUACCAGACAACUACAUCUGUUUUACCACAUGUUGCAGCAAGACUUCCGCUGUUUGUUCCAGACCAGGACCAGUCUGAGGAGAGCUGAUGGAGGAGCUGAGAUGCUGGAGGACAACUAGGAAUCGACCAACAAGGAUUCCUCAAUGUGUUUCUGGAGCGGAGGCGAGCUGGUAGGGGAGCCAUGAAUCUGGAGGAUGACCAUCACUUUACCAACAAGGAUUACGUUGGGGCCAGACUUGCGCUGUUUGUUCCAGACCAGGACUCUGGCUGAGGAGAGCUGAUGGAGGAGCCAAGACUCUGGAGGACGACAUCACUCCACCAACAAGGAUCCUCGUAAAACCAGGAAUCUGGAGGACUGACGGAAAAGCCGUACAUCUGGAAGGCAAAUCCUGAGGACGACCAGGACUCUACCAUCAAGGAUUCCUCACACACCUGAGCUGAAUCUCACCUGAUCCUGUCUUGGCGGGGGCAGACACACCUGAGCUGAACCCCACCUGAUCCGGACAUCCUGCUGGUCCUGUCUACUCAGUUCAUCUGAGCCUCUUCCUCCAGAAGACCUGCUGAGCUCAGCGGUCUGAGGCUGAUGGAUCAAUGACCACCAGUGGGAGUGAUCUUCUUGACCCCACAUAUACCCGUGUGCUUCCACACGCCUUUCCCUCAAGUCUGUCACUAACCUCACUACUUCACUACUCUCUACUCCUUCACCUUCUUCUUCCUUCUCCGUUGUUCAAACCGUUACUCUGAAGGAGUGUCUCCUUGAUCCUUUACACUGAAGGAGCGUCUUCCUGCCCUCAGAGGGUUCAGCGUUAGGGUUGAGAGUCAGGGUUUAGAGUCAGGGACAGAGCUGGUCAGGGAGGGCUGGUUUUACACAAACCUCUUCACUUGCUUUCUGAAUGGUGGUGACAUUUUGAAAAGAUUCAUUUGGGAAAAUGUUUUCCUCUGCUUUCCUUUGCAAAAAUAUGUAUUAAACUUCUGUGUUUGUAACCAGACCAGGAAUCCAUGGCUGAAGGAGCUGAUGGAGGAGCCGUGCUGAAUGCCCCGCCGGGUGGAGGAGCUGAUGGAGGUCCUGCCUGGUGGAGGAGCCAUGCUGAAGGCCCUGCUUGGUGGAGGAUGUCUGUCGUGGGACCAGGACUCUGUCUGAGGAGAGCUGAUGGAGGAGCUGAGACGCUGGAGGACAACUAGGAAUCGACCAACAAGGAUUCCUCAACGUGUUUCUGGAGUGGAGGCGAGCUGAUAGGGGAGCCGUGAAUCUGGAGGAUGACCAUCACUCUACCAACAAGGAUUACCAGGAAUCUGGAGGACUGACGAAGAAGCCGUACAUCUGGAAGGCAAAUCCUGAGGACGACCAGGACUCUACCAUCAACGAUUCCUCACACAGCUGAGCUGAACCCCACCUGAUCCGGAAUCCUGCUGGUCCCGUCUCCUCAGUUCAUCUGAACCUCGUCCUCCAGAAGACCUUCUGAGCUCAGCGGUCUGAGGCUGAUGGAUCAAUGACCUCCAGUGGGAGUGAUCGUCUUGACCCCACAUGUAGCCGUGUGCUUCCACACGCCUUUCCCUCACAUCUGUCACUAACCUCACUACUCUCUACUCCUUCCCCUUCUUCCUUCUCCGUGGUUCGAACCUUUACUCUGAAGGAGUGUCUUCUUGAAUCUUUACACUGAAGGAGUGUCUUCCUGCCCUCAGAGGGUUCAGCGUUAGGGUUGAGAGUCAGGGUUUAGAGUCAGGGACAGAGCUGGUCAGGGAGGACUGCUUUUACACAAACCUCUUCACUUGCUUUCUGAAUGGUGACAUUUUGAAAAGAUUCAUCUGGGAAAAUGUUUUCCUCUGCUUUCCUUUACAAAAAUAUGUAUGUAACUCUGUCAAUUGUUUUUGUUUAUAUAUUAAAAUCCCACAUUGACU